rnacentral:rRNA from 1 species
CGGCGGACGGGUGAGUAACGCGUGGGUAACCUGCCUCAUACAGGGGGAUAACAGUUAGAAAUGACUGCUAAUACCGCAUAAGACCACAGCACCGCAUGGUGCGGGGGUAAAAACUCCGGUGGUAUGAGAUGGACCCGCGUCUGAUUAGCUAGUAGGCGGGGUAACGGCCCACCUAGGCGACGAUCAGUAGCCGGACUGAGAGGUUGACCGGCCACAUUGGGACUGAGACACGGCCCAG